CCUACGGGCGGCUGCAGUGGGGAAUAUUGGACAAUGGGCGAAAGCCUGAUCCAGCCAUGCCGCGUGUGUGAAGAAGGCCUUCGGGUUGUAAAGCACUUUCAGUGGGGAAGAAAGCCUUGGGGCUAAUACCCUCGAGGAAGGACAUCACCCACAGAAGAAGCACCGGCUAACUCCGUGCCAGCAGCCGCGGUAAUACGGAGGGUGCGGGCGUUAAUCGGAAUUACUGGGCGUAAAGCGCGCGUAGGCGGUCUGAUAAGCCGGUUGUGAAAGCCCCGGGCUCAACCUGGGAACGGCAUCCGGAACUGUCAGGCUAGAGUGCAGGAGAGGAAGGUAGAAUUCCCGGUGUAGCGGUGAAAUGCGUAGAGUUCGGGAGGAAUACCAGUGGCGAAGGCGGCCUUCUGGACUGACACUGACGCUGAGGUGCGAAAGCGUGGGUAGCAAACAGGAUUAGAUACCCGAGUAGUC
rnacentral:rRNA from 1 species